rnacentral:snRNA from 1 species
GUGCUCGCUUCGGCAGCACAUAUACUAAAAUUGGAAUGAUACAGAGAACAUUAGCCCCUGUGCAGAGAUGACACGCAAAUUCGUGAAGCUUUCCAUAUUUAA